rnacentral:rRNA from 1 species
GAUGAACGCUGGCGGCGUGCUUAACACAUGCAAGUCGAACGGUGAAGGAGAGCUUGCUCUCCGGAUCAGUGGCGAACGGGUGAGUAACACGUGAGCAAUCUGCCCCUGACUCUGGGAUAAGCGCUGGAAACGGCGUCUAAUACCGGAUACGAGCUGCGAAGGCAUCUUCAGCAGCUGGAAAGCACUUCGGUCAGGGAUGAGCCCGCGGCCUAUCAGCUAGUGGGUGAGGUAAUGGCUCACCAAGGCGUCGACGGGUAGCCGGCCUGAGAGGGUGACCGGCCACACUGGGACUGAGACACGGCCCAGACUCCUACGGGAGGCAGCAGUGGGGAAUAUUGCACAAUGGGCGCAAUCCUGAUGCAGCAACGCCGCGUGAGGGACGACGGCCUUCGGGUUGUAAACCUCUUUUAGCAGGGAAGAAGCGAAAGUGACGUUACCUGCAGAAAAAGCACCGGCUAACUACGUGCCAGCAGCCGCCGUAA